ensembl:lncRNA
CGGAACUGAACCCUAGGUAGAGGUGAACCACCAAAAGGCUGGGAGCAGGAAGGGAGGGAAGGGGGCUCCCUGCUUUAGAAUGGAAACCCCUGGAGGGCAGGGACCGAACCCCCCCCCCCCAACCCGGCCGACAGAAGGAGGCGCUUAUUGAGCACUGGCCCACUGACCCGACCAUGGGGGCGCCCAGGCCGGAGGGGGGGGUCUGUCUGAACAGACAUUGGGGACCACCCAGUCAGCGCCUCGGGAGACCUUCCCUUGGGCCUGUUCCCUGGUCUGUAAAAUGACGGGAUUGGCCCCGAUGACCACUGUGACCUCGGUGUCCUCCUCUGUAAAGUGAGGGCCUCUCCAGCCCCCUCCGGCUCUGCAGCCAUGAGUAGCCAAGGUGUGCUCAAGGAUCCGCUUUAAUCCUUACAACACAGAACCUGUAUGGAGAGCAGAAAGUCCUCCCUCUGAUGGGGGGCCAAGAUGGGAAAUCGUUGGUCAGCCAUGGAGGGCCAAGCAAGAGAAGGACCGAAGACGUGGUGUAGAAAGGAGGGUUGGGGGAGAGAAGCAGAGACCAAGCUCCUUCAGAAUGGAUACCUGUUGCCUGGGAAGCUCUGCCCCCGGACUAAGCCAAUCUUGAGAGGGGAGAGACUGAGGAAAAUUGGUUUGGUCGCCUCCAGGAGGCAGAUUUGGGCCACAGUUCCUCGUUCCACUAGCAGGAUCAGGAUCUUCAGAUGGUCCCACUCAUCCCAUCCAUUCACUCUGACACACCCCAACCUGCACAAGCUUUUCAUCCCGGCCCAGGAGCUCCUCCCUUUGUCUUCUGUGUCUUUCCCUGAAGGACCGCCAGGGAGCUUGAGCAGAGAGCAGGACCAGCACAGGUUUGCUCAAGGGAUGGUUUGUGAGCCCUCGGAAAGAGAAGCUGUGAUGCUGGCAUCGUCAAGAGCUCACUAAGACGAGCCUGUCCUCAUUUCCUUUCUGGAUGAUAGACUAAGAGGAAGUUAUGGAAUUUGAAAGUUAAAAGGGCCCUGGGUGAUCCUCUGAUCAAAUCCAUACACCAGAGACAUCCUCACUAUAAUAAGUGCUCCUCCAGCCCCUGCUUGAAGAGUCCCAAAGAGAGGGAACUCACCCGAGGCAGCACAUUCUACGUUCAGACAGUGACAUCAAGCCUAGAUUGGCCUUCUUGCCACUUGAAGACUGCCCAGACCCUCCCUCCAGUGGCUCUGGAUUCUGCCCUCAGAGGUCAUGCAGAACAAGCCUGAUCCUUUUCCACCUAAGAACCCUGCAAACAGGGAUCCCCAGGCUAAAAAGCCCCAUUUCCCUCAACUGACUUUUAAAUGGAGGGGACUCAAGACCUUUCACCAUCUUGGUCUCCCUCUCCAGAAAGCUCUUGAUCUAUCACCAUCCUUAAACUGACUGGCCCAGGCCUGAGCACAAUACUGCAGAUGGGAUCUGACCAGGACAGAGUGCACUAGGCUUGUUACCACCUUGUGCCUCACUCUCUCCUUCAGAGUCAUGGGAGCCCAAAAGGCAAGACAUAAAUCGGGAAGACGGUGAUGGCCCCAGAGCAGUGGGAGACCUUGGCCUUUUGAAGCUAGCCUUUUCCUAGGUCUCAGUUUGUCUGAGGCAACACCCAUUCUGUGGUUAAAGGCUAGGUAAGAAUUGAGGUACUUUGCCUUCACAAAAGAAUCAGUCAGGUAGGGGAAGACUCUCAGAGUUUCCAGCAAGAACUGAAAUAAUUGCUAGUUACACAUAUUCUGAGCUAUCAAAACCCAAACAAUGAGCAAGUGAGGCCUGGGCUGGGCCCUAUUAUUGGCCAAUCAGUGACAGCCAGAGUGAUUUGGGUUUAAAGGCAUAGUCCUUAGAACCUGUCUGUUUUCUUUUUCCUGUGUAAAUAAUCAAUUCAACAUGUUAACCUCAAAGCUGAUUUCUUUGACUGUGUUUCCUUCUGGGC